ACAUAAACAGAAUGCUGCAAAUAAAAAACACUGCAAGAAGCUCAAAAGACAACGGGAAGCUGGAACCGGAGCGCUUGUUCACGUUCGGUAUUAGGAAGUUGGCCAACUGUCACUGUUGUUGGAAAGUCAAAUGUUCAAGAUGCAAUGAGGCUCAACCAAAACAACAUGUCGGCUGCUGCAAUGCAGUCACUGCUGUGGCCACCAAGACCUGCACGUUUUGCCAAACACUUCAGGCACGAAAGGAAAGGAUGGCAACCCAACAAAUCCCCCCUGAAGCAAUACAACGUGUCACAUUAUCAUGAAGCCUCUGUUUGGGAAACAUCAGAGACCAGACUCCCAUGGACCUGGUCCAAAAUCUGGGCCACAACCUGGACCUGGACCCAGCAGUGUGUCCCGCAAGGCUGACAAGUCACAUACACCUGACUUUGGUUUCAAAAGAAAAUACAAAUCUGCUGAAAGUUCCCAGCAGAGGAGAAAAAAGUCUCCUGCACCCAGCUGUGUGUCCAUGAAGAGUGAUGGGUCUAUGGGGAUUCUAGUUGGGUUCAAAGAUGGACACCCUACUAAUGACC